CGGGUGUUCUCCAGUGAGUUCUGAGCACCCUGCACCGCCCCCAUGUGCCUGCAGGGGGCGCUCGAAGUCAGCAUAGCUUGGGCGGUGAGGCGCAUGCGCAGUCCGCGGCAGACGUGGUCGGCAAGUUUCUUGGGGGGCGGAGUUUGUUUUCCUCAGGACGGAGCGGCCGGCUCCCUGGCGGCUCCGGGAUGGAGGUCGCGCGGCCGGCGUGUCCGCGGGAGGAGGAGGCUCCCCGCCCUAUGUCUGAGUUUUCAAGAGGACCUGUCAGGAAUUGCGUGGAACGUCUUCCAGUUGGGAUUUACGUGAUGUUUCCCUCGUGAUUAGCCUGGGGUGAUGUGCUUCUGGAGAGGAAGGCCACAGAGGACAAGUGUAACGUACGACACUUUCUAUCAAGGGAACAUGCUCUGAAGAAAAAGUAGCCAAUAAGUUUAUGAAAUGAUACUCCACCUCAGUAGUGGUCAGAGGGAUGCUGGAUCCAACAUCUGCGCCUCGAAUAGCGUCUGGCACGUAGUCUGUGCUCAGUAAGUAUCUGAAUGAGUAAGACUUAAAAGACGUGAGGAGCGUGUGCAGGGUGUGCACAGGUGGCAGAAGAGUCCCAGGCAGGGGGAGAGGAAGGUGAAGGGCCAUAAGGAAGGAGCACGCCUGGCUGUUUGAGGCAAGUUGGGAAUGCUGGGUGGCUGAAGUGAAGUGAGCAAGGGGGAGAGGCCUUGGGGAGAUAAACAGACUUGCUAGCCAUUUAAGGGAUAUUGGCUUUUACUCUGGGUGAAAUGAAGUGCCAGUGAGGGGUUUUCUGCGGAGGAGGGCUGUCACCUGACUUGCCCUGGCUGCUGUCCUACCAGCUGACUAAGGGGCAAAAGCAGAGUCAGGGCACCAGGUAGGAGACUGCUGGCACAACCCAGGUGGCAGCUCAGGCCAUGACGUUGGCCGUGGAGAUGGUGACAGGUGGUCAGUUUAGUUGUGGUUUUGCAGGUUGAACCAGCACCAGCUUCAUGGAUGGGACACAAGGUCCUUCACUCAGACAAACCCAUGGGUGGUUUCAUGCUCUGUUGUAUCCAUCUUGAAUUUUUUUCUCCAGACUUACUGACAUAAUUGAUACACGGCAUUGUGUGAGUGUAAGAUGUACAAUGUGGUGAUUAGAUGCAGGUAUAUAGUGAAAUGAUUACCACAAUAAGGAUACUUCCAUAAAUUCACAUAAUCCCUUUUGUGGUGAGAAUUUUUGAGAUCUAGCCUCAGCAACUUGCAGGUAAACGAUACAGCGUUGUUAGCUGUAGUCACCGUGCUGUAUGUGAGAUUUCCCAGAACUUACUCAUCUUAAACCCGGAUGUUUAUACUCUUUGCGAAGCAUCUUAUUUUCCCCACUCCCAGGCCCUGACAACCACCACUCUAUUCUCUGUUUGUGUGAGUUUGGCAUUUUUAGAUUACACAUGUAAGUGAAAUUACGCAGUUCUGCUUUUUAUUUUUUGACGAUCUGCAAUGUGUUGAUUUGAUCUGUUUAUAUACAGCAAUAUGAUCACCACCACAGCUUUCCGUAACACCUCUGUCAUGACUCACGAAUAUAAUUUUCUUUUGUGUGUGUGUGUGUGUGUGUGUGUGGCAAGAACAUUCACAGGAUAGUGUCUUAGCAACUUUGAAGACUGAUGCAGAGCUGUUGUCUGUAAUCACUGUGCUGUGCAUUUGAUCUGCAUGACUUAUUUAUCUUCUGGUUGCAAGUUUGUACCCUUUCACAUCUCCCCAGUUGCUCCGCCCCAGACACCCUUCUCCUCUUUGUCUCUAAGAGCUUGCUCACUUGGUGUAUGUUACACGUAUAUCUGAUACCUUACAUUUGUCUUUCUGUGUCUGGUUCAUCUCACUCAUCGUAAUGCCCUCAAGGUCCAUCUGUAAUACCACAAAUGGAAGGAUUUCCUUCCUUCUCAAUGUGGAAUAGUAUUCCAUUGUAUAUAAAUGCCAUAUCCAUUCAUCCAUUGUUGGACACUCAGAUCGUUUCCAUAUCUUGCCUAUUGGGAAUAACGCUGCAAUAAACAUGUGAGUGCAGCUAUGUUUUCGAUACCCUGUUUUCACUUCCUUCAGGUGUACACCAGAAAGGAGGACUGCUGGAGCAUAUGGUAGCUCUAUUUUUAAUUUUGGGGUAACCUCCAUAGCUUUUCCAUAGUGGCUGAGCCAGGUUACAUCCCCACCGCCAGUGCACAGGGGUUUUCUUUUGUCCUCGUCCUUGCCAGCACUUGUCUCGUUUUCUUGGUGAUGGCCAUUCUGACAGGAGGAAGGGGAUAUCUCAUUCCCGUUUAAAUUGCAUUUCCCUAAUGGUUAGUGAUGUUGAACAUCUUUUCAUGUACCUCUUGGCCAUUUGGGUGUCGUCUUUGGAAAAAUACAAAUUUAGUUUCACUGCCCAUUUUUUAUAUUGAUUGGCUUUUUUUUUUUUUUGGCUAUUGUGUUGUAUGAGGUCCACAUAUAUUUUGAUAUUAACCCCUCAUCCAAUAUAUGAUUUGCAGAGUUUCUCUCUACUCUGUGUUAGGCUUUACAUUUUGCUGAUUGUUUCUUUAGCUGUGCAGGAGCUUUUUAGUUUGAUGUAGUCCCCCCACCUGUUGAUACUUGCUUUUCUGGCUUGUGCUUUUGGGGACAUAUCUCAAAAUUAUUGCCCAAAUCAGUAUUAAGUAGCUUCUUCUCUAUGUUUUCUUCCUGGAGUUUUAUAGUAUCAGGUCUUAUGUUUCAGUCUGUAAUCCAUUUUAAGUUAUAUUUGCAAGUGGUGGAAGGUUAAGUGUCUGGUUUCAUUUUUCUGCAUGUGGUUUUCUUAUUUUCCCAGCAUCAUUUGUUGAAGACACUAGCCUUUCCCCUUUCAAAAUAGCAUUAAAACCGAUAAGAUACUUAAGAAUAAACGUAACUAAGUAAGUGAAAAAUUUGUGCUUUGAAAACUAUAAGAAUUUUAUGGAAAAAAUUGAAGUCAAAACAAGUGGAAAGAUAUACUGGACCAGAAGUAUGGUUAAUGCACCAGAAGAAUUAAUGCUAAAAUGUCCGUACUACUCAAAGCCGUUUAUAGGUUCAGUGCAGUUUCUAUAAAUAUUCCAACAGCAUUUUUUACAGAGAGAAAUCAAUCUGAAAAUUUUUUUAUGUGACCACGAAAGACCCAGAUAUCUAGCCAGAACAAUCCUGAGAAAGAAUAAAUUGGGAGUCAUCACGCUUCCUGCUUUAAUAGUGUAUCACAGUACUGUAGUCAUGAUACACCAUGAUACUGGUAUUAAAAUACACACGUAGUCUAAAGGAACAGAAUAGAGAGCCCAAUAGUAAACCCCUGUGUAUCAGGUCAGCUAACAUUUGAGAUGGAAGUAAAACAUGUUCAGUGGGCAAAGGAUAUAGUCUCUUUGACAGAUGGUGCUAGGACAACUGGAUACUACUUUUAAUUUUUGGCAGAACCUCCAUACUGCUUUUCAUAGUGGCUGUGGUUAAUUUACAUUUUUACCAACAGAGCACAAGGAUUUUCUUUUCUCCGCAUCCUUGCCAGUACUUGUAAUGGCUUGUCUUUUUUAACUGUAGCCAUUGUGACAGGUGUGAGAUGGUCUCAUGACAUUGAUUUGCAUUUCCUUGACAAUUAAUGUUGUUGUGCACUUUUUCAUGUUGGACAUUUGUAUGUCUUCUUUGGAAAAAUUGUCUUAUAAAUCCAAUAUUUUUAAAUUAGAUUUUCUUGGCUGUUAAGUUGUAUGAUUUAUUCAUAUACUUGAGUAACUACCAUUUAUCAAAAGAUCAUUUGCUAAUAGUUUCUCCCAUUCCGUAUGACGCCUUUUUGUUUUUUCAAUUAUUUUUCUAUACAGAAGUGUUUUAGGUUGACUUAGUCCCACUUAUUCUUUUGGCUUUUGCUUUUGUUGCCUGUCCUUUUGAGUCAUAGCCAAAAAAUCAUAUUCCCAAGACCGAGGUCGAGGAGGUUUUCCUCUGAUUUUUUUUUUAGGAGUACUAUGGUUUCAAAUCAUACGGUUCUCUCUAUUGUGAGUUAAUUUUUGUGAGUUGCAUAAGAUGGGGUCCAGUUUAAUUCUCUUACAUCCAUUCGACUGUACCAAUUUACAUUUCCACCCAAAAAGUGCACAAAUUACCUUUUCUUCAUAUUGCAAACUUUUUUUUUUUUUAUAAUAGCCAUUCUAACAGGUGUGAGGUAAUGUUUCAUUGUGUUGGUUUUUUUUUUCUGUCAGGGACUUGGUUUUUUUUAACAUUUUUUAUUGAGUUAUAAUCAUUUUACAAUGUUAUGUCAAAUUCCAGUGUAAAGCACAAUUUUUCAGUUAUACAUGAACAUGUAUAUAUUCAUUGUCACAUUUUUUUCUCUGUGAGCUACCAUAAGAUCUUGUAUAUAUUUCCCUGUGCUAUACUGUAUAAUCUUGUUUAUCUGUUCUACGUUUUGAAAUCACAGUCUGUCCCUUCCCACUCCCUGCCCCCUUGGCAACUACAAGUUUGUAUUCUAUGUCUAUGAGUCUGUUUCUGUUUUGUAGUUACGUUUUGUUUUGUUUUGUUUUUUUUAGAUUCUACAUAUUAGAGAUCUCAUAUGGUAUUUUUCUUUCUCUUGCUGGCUUACUUCACUUAGAAUGACAUUCUCCAGGAGCAUCCAUGUUGCUGCAAAUGGCGUUAUAUUGUCAUUUUUAUGGCUGAGUAGUAUUCCAUUCUAUAAAUACACCACACCUUUAUCCAGUCAUCUGUUGAUGGACAUUUAGGCUGUUUCCAUGUCUUGGCUAUUGUGAAUAGUGCUGCUUUGAACACUGAGGUGCAGGUGUCUUUUUGAAGUAGGGUUCCUUCUGGAUAUAAGCCCAGGAGCGGGAUUCCUGGGUCAUAUGGUAAGUCUAUUCCUAGUCUUUUGAGGAAUCUCCAUACUGUUUUCCACAGUGGCUGCACCAAACUGCAUUCCCACCAGCAGUGUAGGAGGGGUUCCCUUUUCUCCACAGCCUCUCCAUCAUUUGUCAUUUGUGGAUGGCCAUUCUAACUGAUGUGAGGUGAUACCUCAUCGUAGUUUUGAUUUGCAUUCCUCUGAUAAUUAGUGAUACUGAGCAUUUUUUCAUGUGUCUAUUGAUCAUUUGUAUGUCUUCCUUGGAUAAUUGCUUGUUUAGGUCUUCUGCCCAUUUUUGGAUUGGGUUUUUUUUUCUUAUUAAGUCGUAUGAGCUGCUUAUGUAUUCUGGAGAUCAAGCCCUUAUCAGUUGCGUCUUUUGCAAAAAUUUUCUCCCAUUCUGUAGGUUGUCUUUUUGUUUUGUUUAUUGUUUCCUUUGCUAUGCAGAAGCUUGUAAGUUUAAUUAGGUCCCAUUUGUUUAUUCUUGCUAUUAUUUCUAUUGCUUGGGUAGACUGUUCUAGAACAUUUUUGAGAUGUAUGUCAGAUAAUGUUUUGUAUGUUUUCUUCUAGGAGGUUUAUUGUAUCUUGUCUUACAUUUAAGUUUUUGAUCCAUUUUGAGUUUAUUUUUGUGUAUAGUCUAAGGGAGUGUUCUAGCUUCAUUGCUUUACAUGCUGCUGUCAAGUUUUUCUGACACCAUUUGCCGAAGAGACUGUCUUUAUUCCAUUGUAUAUCUUGCCUCCUUUGUCGAAGAUGAGUUGACCAAAAGUUUGUGGGUUCAUUUCUGGGCUCUCUAUUCUGUUCCAUUGGUUUAUAUGUCUGUUUUUGUACCAAUACCAUGCUGUCUUGAUUGCUGUAGCUCUGUAGUAUUGUCUGAAGUCUGGGAGAGUUAUUUCCUCCAGCCUCUUUCUUUUUCUUUAGUAAUGUUUCACAAUACUAGGUCUUUUGUGGUUCCAUAUAAAUUUUAUUAUGACUUGUUCUAGUUCUGUGAAAUAUGUCCUGGGUAAUUUGAUAGGGAUUGCAUUAAAUCUGUAGAUUGCCUUGGGCAGUGUGACCAUUUUAACAAUAUUGAUUCUUCCAAUCCAGGAGCAUGGGAUAUCUUUCCAUUUUUUUUAAGUCUUCUUUAAUUUCCUUCAUCAAUGGUUUAUUGUUCUCUGUGUAUAAGUCUUUCACCUCCUUGGUUAGAUUUAUUCCUAGGUAUUUUAUUACUUUGGGUGCUAUUUCAAAGGGGAUUGUUUUCUUUACUAUCUUUUUCUGUUGAUUCAUCAUUAGUGUAAAGAAAUGCAACUGAUUUUUGAACAUUGAUCUUGUGACCUGCUACCUUGCUGAAUUGUUUGAUUAGUUCUAGUAGUUUUUGUGUGGAGCUUUUAGGGUUUUCUAUAUGUAGUAUCAUGUUAUCUGCAUAUAGUGACACUUUUACCUCUUCUUUUCCAAUUUGGAUCCCUUUUAUUUCUCUCUCUUGCCCGAUUGCUGUGGCCAGGACUUCCAAGACUAUAUUGAAUAGGAGUGGUGAUAGUGGGCAGCCUUGUCUUGUCCCAGAUUUUAGUGGGAUGCUUUUGAGUUUUUCACCAUUAAGUACUAUGCUGGCUGUAGGUUUGUCAUAGAUAGCUUUUACUAUGUUGAGAUAUGUUCCCUCUAUACCCACUUUGGUGAGAGUUUUUAUUGUAAAUGGAUAUUGAAUUUUAUUAAAUGCUUUUUCUGCAACUAUUGAGAUGAUCAUGUGGUUUUUGUCCUUUCUUUUGUUGAUGUGAUGUAUUACAUCGAUUGAUUUGCGUAUGUUGAACCACCCUUGUGUCCCUGGAAUGAACCCCACUUGAUCAUGAUGUAUAAUCUUUUUUAUGUACUGUUGGAUUCUAUUUGCUAAUAUUUUGGUAAGGAUUUUUGCAUCUGUGUUCAUCAGUGAUGUUGGUCUGUAAUUCUCUUUUUUGGUGGUGUCUUUGCCUGUUUUUGGUAUCAGGGUGAUGGUGGCUUCACAGAAUGAAUUUGGGAGUAUUCCCUCCUUUUCAAUCUUCUGGGAGAGUUUGAGAAGGACUGGUAUGAGUUCUUCUUUGUAUGUUUGGUAGAAUUCCCUGGUGAGGCAGUCCGGUCCUGGACUUUUAUUUGUAGGGAGGUACUUUGUCUUUUUUAAAAGCCCACUGAAACAGUUUUAUGAGUUACGUUGCUUAAAAUUUAUUUAUUUUAGAAUAUCUUUAGAUUUCAAAGUGGAAGUAGAUCAACACGCUCAUUUUAUAGUUGAAAAAAAAAAAAAACCCAACAACAGGGUUGGUUAUAGCUCAAUGGUAGAGUGACUGCUUAGCAUGCGUGAGGUCCUGGGUUCAGUCCCCAGUACCUCCUCUAAAAAAAAAAAAAGAAAAGCCUAAUUACCUUCCCCUCCCCAGGAAACCCCCAAAGUCCAUGAAGUUAAGUUUCCCAUUUAACUAAUUUCUUGUACAUAUACAAGAGGUUUCUGUUGGUCACUGAGAAUUCAAAGGGAAACAUGAAGCCAUUCUGACCCUGAAAGAACUGACAGUCUCGCAGGGGAGAGACAACCACCAGUCAGACAAGGUGAAGCGGGCUGUGCCUCCGCACGGACCAGGGGGUGAUUCAUCCUGUCAGGGGUCAGGGAGGUUGUGGAAAGGCUGCAGGAAGGAUGGAUACUUGGAGCCUUGAUUAGUACGGGCUGGUGUGGAGACAUGGAGGGGGCAUGACAGAUGGAAGGAGGAGGAGGGUAGCUGUGGGAGGGGGUCUGGUGCUGGACGGAGUGGAGUCGCCUGGUGGCCUGAGUGGUCAAGGAUGAGCCUGCAAGACAGGGAGCCCUGGACAGGGCUUGGACUCUUCUCUUUGGAUUCAGGGUCUUAUUCGGGAGCAGUGUGAUCAAACUCGUGCUUUAGAGGAACACUCAGAGCAAUGUGAGUAGGCGGAAUUGGGGUAGACAGGAAGAAAGCAGAGCAGGUAAGAAUUUGCUAGAAUAUUACUGCUAAGAAAUAAUAAAGGACUGAAUAAGUGAAUUAAGUGAUACUUUGAAGGUAGAAUUUGUAAGAAUUGUCUGUGGUUUCAGAAUGCAGUUCUGGGAUUUUCUCCCCAAAAUUCCAUCAUAUUUUUUCUUCUUCAUGAUUCAUGUACAGUGAUAGUGAUUAGUAUCUACUGAGAAAUGACUGUCCCAGACCCUGUGGUAAGUACCUCACAUCCAUUAUCUCCUCUGAACAUCUCGAUAGCCCUCUGGACUAGGUCAUAUCACAGCCACAUGACAGACGAGGGAAUCCAGGCUCUGAGAGAUUACACUGUGCUCUGUCUCCGAGCCAAGAAGAAUCAGAGGUUGGAAUUGACCCAGGGCUCUACUGUAGCAUGAGAGCCUGGAUAGCUAUGAUUAUUGCAUCACCAACUACAUACGUGAAGUGAAAGAUCUCAAGAUAUAAGAUAAUCUCUCAGAGCUUACAGCUCUGCCCUGGUAAGUAACCCUGGCACCUCAGCAAAAUGAAGCUCUAUUCUUCAAAACUGUCCAGUGUGAUCCAUGAAUAUUCAUUCUUCUGUUUACCCACCUCAUAAGUCCCGGUGCAGAGUCAGGGGCUCAGCGGCACUGCGUGUGGUCUCCCGUGGGCCCCUGCAGCCGAGCACCUACCCCAGCAGGGUACGGAGGUUGCUAAGGAAAUGCACUGAGCUCGCUGACCCUCCUACCCUCUCCUUGAUUUUUCCUUUAUUUUCCCGAUCCUCUUUCUCUACUUCAUGCCGUCUUCACAAGCUGCUUGCGCUGAUCGUGGUGAUGCAGGUUAGUGCACGACCUAGUAAUUCUUGCCCUUGACCUCAACUCGCCUGUUGUUGCAUCUUUUUCUCCCCUUGGCUUGUUGCAUUUUUGAGAGCUCUUGGCUAAACUGGCCCAAGAAUCUCCUCCUCUCCUGUUUGUCCAUAUUGUCAACUCUCAACCUCGAGACUGGUUGAGGCUAAGGUGACACAGGUCAGCAUCCCCUCAAAGACCUUGCAGUGCAGUGGGGAUGUGAGCUGUGUGGCUGACCAUUACUGCAAGGUCAGGGGAGUUCUGCAUCACAGGAGGAUAGGUAAAGGGCCACAGAAGCACAAAACUGAACCAUGUUAAUUCCCGUUAGAACACAUUCGGUCAUGAAUAAAUUAAAAAACGAGUUGUUUAUUUACAGCACAAAAGUAAGUGUGUGUGAAACUCGGUCAGUUGUAAUUUGACGAUAUUACCGGUCCUGCCAGGAGAGAAGACUGAGCAGAGAGACCAUGGCAGAGCAGUGGAAAGGGUGAUCACGAUGAAUGAGAGUCCAGGUUUUGCUUCAGUCAAUUAUUAGACUAAGUGUUAAGUUCUGUCCUUGAGAUCUGUAUGAUGCCCAUGUAGGUAUAAAAUAAUUGUUCAUAUUCUCUUCCAGCCAAAUAAUCAGUAUCGAAGAGAGGCAGGACCUCAGAUUCUUAACUCCAUGAUCCAGGCCUUCAUCCAGAUUCCAGAGACACAUCCGCCUUGGGAGAAUCACCUGACUGAACAGGACAAGCUACAAGGCUCGUGUCUCCUCUGCCUUCAGGUCAGCAUGAAAAGCCGAUUGCACAGCUUCCUUGGCCCCUGCACAGUAACCCCACUGUGAUCUUGUCCCCUCAGGUCCCUGGGCUCUGGGACAGGAGCUGCACAGAAAGAGGAGGCUGAGGGGACAAGCCAGUCUCCCCUGAGCCCACAGAGCUGGCCUAAGCUACCCACUCAGCCCUCUCACAACCUGGUGCAGAUUUUUAGGUGCAAGAACCCUCCCCUCCUCACUGGGAGACAGCCCCAAGCGUCACCAAAGACCAGGGAAGACAAAAGAUGGACCAGAGAAUCACCCAAAGGAGCAGGAUCACACCCAUGGGGACUUUUCAUGGUUCAGCCUGCUUAGUAGAAAAGGAGCAGUGAUGUUUGUUUCUUGCCUUGAGUUUGGUCGAGUUUCUCUUCCCUGGCUGUUGAGUAGAGCAAGAGGCACUUUCGGCUUCUCGUGGUUAGGCUGCCCCUGAGCUUCGUGUACUUUGAAGAAGUCUGCGGGAAACAAGUGUGUGUCUGUGUGUGUGUGACUGAAACACCCUGCACACCAGAAACCGACAUGGUGUAACUGACUAUACUUCAAUUUAAAAAAAAAGUCUAUGAAUUCUGUGUAUGAAGCCACAUAGUGGCAGGAUCCGUGAGAUCUCCACAUUCCAUUAAAAAAUCCAAAAAGGAAGCAUAAGAAUUCCCAAGGCCAAUGCGUUCAAAGUGUGCAGCCAGCUCAGUAUCCAUGUAAGAGGCUGUCCCAGGGUCCCAAGCCUGUCUGAGCGUCAGGUAGGAACUGCAUGAAAAGGAGUCCAAUGUGCUGGGUCCCGGUGGUGGUCGUAGGUGGAAGCCAUUAAGGGGGAGUCACACCCAGAAGGAGUAGGCUCCCCCUGAGUGGGAAAUAGUGAGAAGAGGGCUCACAUUUGGUGGUCAGAGCGUUAGCCAUGAGAGAGUCAGAAGGAGAGAAUGUGGAAAGGGCCAUGGGGCAGGGAUCAGUCUGAGGCCAGCACCAGUGAUGAGGGACCAGGAGACCCCUUGACAGGACAUGGUCUUUGGAGGCUUGUGUUAAAAGCAUAGGAUGCAGCCAAAGAAGUUUGUGGAACCCACGGUACUGGAAGUCGGUGAGGAAAGAGAACACGAUGUACUGAGGAACUGUACUUCCCCAGGCCAGCAGCAGAGGUGCUCUCUAAAUUAGAAUCCAGGUAACUUCCUGAAUGCCACACAGCCCCCUUCUCACCUAUGAAGACAACAGAUACCUGGGUGGGUGAGGCUGGGUUUAAAGUCCAGGUGGGCAGUGCUAACAUAGCAGGCAUUCGGGCAGCUUACACGUGCUUUUGAAAGAACCAGCAAUGAUCGGUUUCUCUUUCUGGUUCUGUCUGCAGCCAGUGAUAUUUCUGGGUAUGGUUGACCUUGGACUCAUCGUUCACAAGUCCAACCACCCAUCCAUAAAAUUCACUUCACACUACAUCUUGGGCCAGCAACGAUACUUACAGUGUAACCACUCACAAAGUCCUCCGAGAUUCACAGCGUGAGACAAGAAGUCACACCUGGUCAUUCCCCCUCAUGCUUCCACCCCCGCACUGACUGCCACCAUCACAUGAGCUACGCACAAGCCAGUGGACCUGCCUUAAAUUUGCACGUGUGGGGGGGGUGACUUUCAGCACACGGAAACCAGAUAUUUGAUUGUAAUUACACCAGAUAUUCCAAAUUUCAUAUCAGACAUUGGCCUAGUUGGACUUAACAAAAAUUCCAGUAAGGAAGUGGAGCAGAGGCCAGGAAGUGCCCCCUCACUUAUUCCUGAUUUUCUUUCAUUCUCCCUACUUUUUUUUUUAACCCCAAAUGAAAUCUAAAUGAAGUUAAGAUAGAGCACAGCACAGUGAAGUGAUGCCAAAACUCAGUGCAUCCUCCCCAUUGUCAUGGGACUGAGACCUUGCCAGUGGUGGGUCUCAUCCAAGGACGGGGCUGGGGACACACUCUUCAGGAACAUGAGCCUCUUCUGAGAUCCAGGGCGGCCCUGUUUGCAGGGACAUGCUGGGUGUUCCACCAUCUGAAGCAGGGCAUGUCAGCACAGGGCAGUCCCGAGGGGGCCCAGCAGGUUCUCAGGCACAAACACAGAUCCCCACUUGACCCAUAUCUGGAGCACCGUCUAGGGCCCGUCAGUCUAGACCCAUCGCUGUAGUAUUCGGACAAUAAAGAUCACUCCCACUGCAUCCUGCCCAGAGUGAACGUGUGUGCCCGUCCAGAUGCCUCCUGUCGUUAGGUGAGCCUCCACCCUUCUGACAGUGUAGGGGAUAGAAUCAUGUCUUCAUCCCAGCCUGCCCUCCCCAUUUUCUUAAUUUCCCAGAAGGGUUUGCUUUCUCCUGGCCCAGACCCCCUGAAUCCCCCAUAUCCGUCAGGAGACCUCAGGCCUCCACCAUCAGUUCAGGCAGAAUUUCCCCCCAACAGACACACCUCAGAUGACCUGGAGUCCCUGGAAGAUGAGCUGCUGUCACUAACAUAGUGAGAAACCUGUGGGCUCCCUCCCAUCCAAACCUCCUGCCCAGUCUUCCUCCCCCAGGAGUCCUUGUCCUGAGUAAUGGGGUCUCUGAGCACCAGCUUCCUGGAAGGGUCAUAUUGAAGGAAAUCGUAAAAAGAAAAACAUUAAAAUGACUGCAUGAUCUGUCACUACAUCUGUUCACAAUCCAAUGCAUGGAAAAUCCAGGGAGUCCACACAGAUAGUAAUCUCUAGAUUCAGCCUUUUACUCUGAGAGAAUAGGAUUAAACCCAUUAGCAGGUUUCUAGGGUGUGGCUCUUUGUAAAUAUGCAUUAAGCCAACGAUCCUGGUAAACGUGGUAAUUCAGGAUUGAGUGAUAAAUGAAACUUGCCCACAUCUGUCAGCCAGGGGGGCUUUUAGGGUCACCUGAGUUCUGUGUUCUUAACUGUUACCAAGCUAGACACAAUCUUCCAUUUUUCAUGGAUCUUUUUAAAAUUUCAUCUUUAAAAAGUAAUUUUAUUUAUUUGUUUAUUUUUUGUGUUUUUGCUUGGGGAGAGGUAAUUAUGUUUAUUUACUUUUUUAUUUUAAUGGAGGUACUGGGGAUUGAACCCUGGACCUCAUGCAUAGUAAGCAUGCACUCUAGCACUGAGCUAUACCCUUUUCCCAUGUCAGCUUUUUUUGAGGUGUAAUUCACAUAUAAAAUUGUAAGAUAUUUGAAGAGCACAUCUUGGUGACUUGAUACAUGUUUACAGUGUGAAAGGAUUCCCUCAUCUGGGUAACAUCAUCACUUCACAUGCGUCUUUCCCUCUCUUUCCUUCCUGUGAGAAUAUUUAGGCUUUACUCUCUUGCCAGUUUCAAUUACAUAAAACAGAUCAGCCAUGAUCACCACGUGUUACAUUAGCUCCUCAGACCGUAUUCAUCUUAUAUCUGAACAGUUUCCCUCUUUUACCAGCCUCUCCCUAUUCCCCCACCCCACAGCCCUGGGAACCACUUUUCUACCCUCUUUUUGUUUGAAUUUGACUUUUUCAUAGAUGUAAUAUCUGAGACAGUUCAGAAAAUUUCCCCCAAUUGCAAGUUCUUUCUAAGAGUCAUCACUCCAUUUUUUUGUCCAUGUCAUAGAAAAAUACUCCCAGCCAGCAGUGGAUCAGUUGUAGCAGGCACUGACCCUGGAGGAUGUGCCACAUGGCUCCGUUUGCUUUGGGAAUUGACUGUGGGUUUGAAGGUCUCAACAACUUAGAGCAACAUAAGUUGACAUAACACAAAAAUUUAUCUAUGGCACUAAAUUAACCCAUACAACUGAGAUCUAAAACCAGACACGGAGGGAGAUUGCAUAGUUCCAGGUACAUAUGGGAUAUAUUUGAAGGGUAACGUGGGCUUCUUUAGAGCCUGCAGCCUUCUGUUUCCUAAAAGACCAGCCUCUAGCUGUGCCCCUUAAGGUACAGUCACAAGCCCAUCACCAUGGCAACAGACGUUCCAAUGGUGGCCUGUGCUGGAGAGGAAGCUCUGGUCACAAGAUGGUUUUUGUUUUUGUUUUUGUUUGUUAGGGGAGGUAAUUAGGUUGAUUGAUUGACUGUAGCAGGGAUUGAACCCAGGACCUCAUGCACGCUAAGCACGCGCCCUACCACUUGAGCUAUACCCUCCCCUCAACAAGAUAUAUUUUAAAGUACAGAAAUAAACAACAGUGAUGCCAGAGCUCUGGCUUUAUUUUGCUUUGUUUUAGUUAUGUGGCUGAGAUUUAAUGAGAGAACUUACAUAAAAUCAGUCAUUAAUACAUCAGGCAGAUUUGUUUAAUCUUCUCAUUGCUUGGUCAUUAUGACAAGAUGGAAGUGGAAACCCUGCACUCUGUGAAGUACAUCUGAUGGAACACUUAAUAGUGACAUGCCUAUGUCAGGGUGCAUAUAUACACAUAAUUAUUUUAAGCUCCCUUCAAGUGUUAACAUACAUUCUAUAUAAUAUAUAUUACAAAUACUGUAUUACAUCCAGUUGUAUAAAAAAAAAAAAAGCACUCAUCACAGGAGAAAACAGUUUGAACAGUAAGACCUGAUGUGCAUGAUCAAAAACAGGUUACAGCCAAGAAUGGCUUUGUUUAAGGCUCUCAGGGAUUCACCAUCAGUAAGUGAGCUUUUUAUUCUGGUCUCAGCUGUGAGAAUAUGAUUCAUCCUUCCAGAUGUCUAGCUGUUUCAGGGAGUGGGGGUUAAUCUAAGCAUGUCGCUCACUCUUGGUGGGUGGAGAUCGCAGAUCUCAGGCAGGUUGUGGGUAGAAGCAGGGGCUGCUUUGUUGCAGUGGAAGAGAGAAUGCAUCAAUGAUACAACUUAAAGGUCAACCAUGAAAAGGCCUGAAAUUGUCCAGAGGAAAAUUAUAAAGUAACAAACUCUGGUUCCAUUAUUUGUUCUGACAUUGAAUCACCAGAAGAAAUGUUCUAGCUCUGAGGUUAAUUUCUGUAGUCUUAAAAAUGUAUCUCCUGUUUAGCUACCUUCUGUUAAAAACAAGGAAACAGGCCCCAGAUGGGGUUGCAAGUGUUAAGUCCCACGUCACCAAACUGAGACUGAAUUUACGCACCGUUUUGGCUGUCCCAGAAGUGGAACCUUAAAUCGUUCAGUCAGGAAUGUCCUGCUCGAGGCCCGGCCCGUUAGGUCGUCUGCCUGAGAGCCCCUCCAGGCCCCUAAAGGAAGGUCACCUUGCGAUUACCAACCAGCUCGUGGUCUAGGGUAACCUCCUUGUUCCCACUCCCUCCCACCUAUGAAGUCUCUGUUUCCCGCUCUGGGGGCUCCUUUCUGUCUGCUGGACUGUAUAGGGCCAGGUUCAUGAAUCACUGGGUAACGCCACAAAGAUCUGUAAAAUUUAAUCUGUUGAAUUUUGUUUUCUAACACUUUGAAAAAAAUUCAAAUAAACUGCCAAGACAUA